rnacentral:rRNA from 1 species
UACAGAGGCCUCAAGCGUUAGGCGGAAUCACUGGGCUUAAAGCGUGUGUAGGCGGACUUCUAAGUGCUUUGUGAAAUCCCAUGGCUCAACCAUGGAACUGCUUGGCAUACUGGGAGUCUUGAGCCAUCUAGGGGCAACUGGAACAAACGGUGGAGCGGUGAAAUGCGUAGAUAUCGUUUGGAACGCCAAUGGUGAAGACAGGUUGCUGGGGAUGUGCUGACGCUGAGACACGAAAGCCAGGGGAGCAAACGGG